ensembl:misc_RNA Metazoa_SRP Metazoan signal recognition particle RNA
GCCAGGCAUGGUGGCGCAUGCCUGUAAUCCCAGCUACUCGGGAGGCUGAGGCAGGAGAAUCGCUUGAGCCCGGGAAGCGGAGGUUGCAGUGAGCCAAGAUCACGCAAUUGCACUCCAGCCUGGGCGACCGAGUGAGACCUUGUCUCAA